rnacentral:lncRNA from 1 species
CGUGUUAGAUUCAAGAAGCAAAUGUACUACUGAUACAGAUAGAGGAAUAGAAGUAAUGACAAUAGAUUUGCUUUUUCAACUCGACGGAAAUUAUCUUCAGCCACCCUCACCAUUAACUUCAUCCCUCUGUCUCACCCCCAAUUUUUGAUCGAACAAUUGGAGGAAAAAAAAAUGAAAUUCAAUGAACAAAUCCAAAAACCCCCUAAGUGAACAAGGCCACCGCCUCGGAUUCCGGCAACAACCGCACCGAUCCAAUGAAGGGGAAGGCCGCCGCCUCAAAUUCCAACAACAACCGCUCUGAUACAGUGAAGGGGAAGGCCGCUGCCUUGGAUUCCGGCAACAAUCGUCGAGAACCACCUCUGGUCGUUGUCCCUUUCUCACCACACCCUCUCGCUCACCACCUCUCAUCUGCCCAUCUCUCUGCCUCGUAUCGCGCCGCCUAGCCUGCCUUCACCGUGAGCAGCCACAGGCUGCCACCACCCAUGCGGCGCCGGCCGCCGCAGCAUCGUCAGCCCGACUUCUAGCCUCCGACAACCUUCCCCUCUCCUCGUCACUCAUCCCCAAAACCAAAGGUAAACAAAGAAUUUCACA